UACGGGGGGGGCAAGCGUUGUUCGGAAUUACUGGGCGUAAAGGGUUUGUAGGUGGCCCGCUAAGUCACACGUGAAAUCCCUCAGCUUAACUGGGGAACUGCGUGUGAGACUGGCAGGCUCGAGGGCAGGAGAGGAACGCGGAAUUCCAGGUGUAGCGGUGAAAUGCGUAGAGAUCGGAAGGAACGUCGAUGGCGAAGGCAGUCACCUGGCAUCAUACUGACGCUGAGGCGCGAAAGCGUGGGGAGCAAACAGG
rnacentral:rRNA from 1 species